GAAGUGCUCCUGUUGUAGUCACUCUCCAGCAUUGCAUUCUCCUUGUGAGUUUGAAAAGGAAAAUUUCCUCUGUACAUCUCCGGUCAACCACAGGAAUUCCAUCCUGCAUCCCAGCAAAGGAAGCAGCUGAACACUGCUAGACCUCACUUUAGUGUCUGAUACUUGCUGAUGAUGGAGAUCCGGUUAUUUUUCUGCACAAGGCUUUUGAGUUUUUAGAUGGAGGUUUAUUGUCUUUAACUACAUUUCUGAAUUCUACCACGCUUCUCCUAGCACAAACUACUUGAAUCAGGUCUUAAGAGCCACCUAAGAUUUGAGAGACACAGGCACGGUUGAACAAAGUGUACAUGUAGCCUACCUAAAAAUCCAGAAAAAUCAGGCAGCUGAUGAGAACAGAGGAAGGAGCAGAUGAUGGCACCAAAUCCUGCCCUGGAGCUGAGCAGGGCUCAAGGAGCAGCCCCGUGUGGAGGAGCAGAUGGUGCUCUGCAAACUAUCAGCUGCAUUUUGUGGAGCAUUUCUGGAGCUGAGGGACAACUGUCUGGGAAUUUCCAGGUCAGGUAACCUUGCUCACUCUUGUGGAAAGCCUGAGGAGCUCCAGGAGGGAUUUAAAGAAGAGAUCUUCCUCUCCUGUUCAGCUAAUUACGAGCUCCUCCCUUCCAAACUCCUGAUCUCGUCACACAGCCGAAGGCGUCGACGGCAGAGCAGAGCCCGGAUUUGGGAGCUGGCGGUGCCGCGCCGCUGUUCCCGCAGCAGCCGGGUGCUUCUCCCUGUGCCUCUGGAGCCUGCCAUUGUGCUGGGAAGUGGAGCAGGUAACCACUUCAUCAGGCCGAGAUUCCAUUCUCGUGGAGCACGGAGGUUCAUUAUACUCACUUUAUCAGCAGUGCGCUUUACUGCCGAAUCCAUGAGAGAUAUUCAUGUGAAACAUGAGCAGAGAGAGAGGCAUUGCAUCUUUUCAUUAAUAAGCCCUCUUCUGGGAUCCGGCAUUAGCGAGAUUCAGCGGAUCAUAGAGCACAGGGGUAUCAUUUUUACAUGA
rnacentral:lncRNA from 1 species